UCUCUCUCUCUCUCUCUCUCUCUCGAUGCUUCCGGGCCUCAACGACCCCCGGGUUAUCCGAUCCGCCUGACGAGUGUCCACCGGGAAAAGAAGGCUGCCUAGAAGGGACAGGCCAGGGACAGGCCUUCAGGACUUGUGCAGGCUAGUCUCUAGGGGAUGCUCCUUGGAGACUUCUUCUCCACCAUACCAUUCCCCGACUAUUCCUCAUGCCUGCUGGACCACUGGCUCAAAACUUGGGGUACCUGUGACCGCAGAGACCAACGUCCUUGGAUCCAUCUCCCAAGUUCCGCAUUCAUUGUGUAUAGGACAACUGACUUGGACCAGUCUAUGCUACAGGGUCCAACCCAGAACAUUCUUGGGUUUCAGUUUUCCCUGACUUGGCAAUGGGUACAUUCUACUGGAAAUGACCAGAGUGUAUUAUCAACCCAUCCAAGUUCUCCCCACCGCCACCCCGGUCUCCAGCUGUAGCCUUCCCUGCAGCCAGACCUGGGGAUCUUCUGGAUCUGACCAGAUAAAGUUGCUAUACUUCCCGUGUGCAAGGCUGGGUGACCUUGGUGUUGAAUCAUUCAUUGAAGGUUGGAAGCCCUGAAGGUUGGAUCAUAGGCUAUUCCUUUAAAGGAUGUUGUAAUUAGAAGUUUUGAUUAGUAAAUGUUGAGAUCACGGCAGGUCGGGCUAUCUUUUAUGGGGAUAUGUAUUUUGGUAUUGUACUAGAGACUGAAUCCAGGGCUUUGUGUAGGCUUGGCAAGCGCUCUGCCACCAAGUACCAGCCCCAGCUCCCUUUUCACUUUUUCUUAAACAUGUAAACAUUUUUAAAGUGUAAUUUUAUGUGUACAGGUGUUUUGCCUGCAUGCAUGUCUGUGGACCAUGAACACGCGGUGCCCAUGAAGGACAG